GAUCUUGCGUGAGGGGGAUCAAAUAUGCGGUUGCACAAUGGAGAGCAACAUGGACAUCAGAAGAACUAAAGAGGACAAAAAACUGCUUGGAAGGCAGAUUAAAGCCAGUCACACAUUAUUGAAACACAAGGGCAUAAGCACAGUGUCACAUCGCACAAAGUGCAGAAAGCUUUAAAAGACCGAAGAGUGAAGCAUUAUGGGUAUGAGUUUCGGUACAAUAAUAAUAACAUGGAUAAAAACAAACCCUUACCGCGUGAAUAAUGCACCAUUACUGAAAAAAAACACCAUUGAUUCCUUGAUUGCUAUGGACAUGAAAAGAGCCAGCAUCACCCCCUGACCCCACUCCUAUUGAGAACCUGCGGAGCAUCCUUGAAAUGAAGAUCUAUGAGGGUUGGCGGCAGUUACCCCCAAACAACAGCUCUGGGAUCCUCAAAUGAAAUACUGCCAGAAACUAUACAUGGACUUACAAGUUCAAUGGAUGAGAGAAUUGUUAAAGUCAUCUCCAAGAAGGCAUAACACCUCGGAAAUUUGAUGUGGUACCCGUGUUGG
ensembl:lncRNA